rnacentral:rRNA from 1 species
CCAGCAGCUGCGGUAAUUCCAGCUCCAAUAGCGUAUAUUAAAGUUGUUGCAGUUAAAAAGCUCGUAGUUGGACCUUAGGCAAGGCGGCCUGGUCACCCUCUGGGUGUACUGGGAUCGCUGCGCCUCACCUUCGGGGAGCUAGUCGUGCUUCGGUGCGCUAGGGAACCGAGCCUUACCUUGAGGAAAUUAGAGUGUUUAAAGCAGGCUUAUGCUUGAAUACGUUUGCAUGGAAUAACAUGAUAGGACUUUGGUCUUAUUUCGUUGGUUUCUAGGACCUAAAGUAAUGAUUAAUAGGAACGGUCGGGGGUAUUAGUAUUGAAUUGUCAGAGGUGAAAUUCUUGGAUUUAUUC